AUUUCACAAGAAGCAAACAACCCACCAGACAAACCUCCCCGAUGCUAACAGAAGCAGAGCUCCUACAACUACAAUUGAGUCGCCAACAAAAAGAAUCAAACAAAAUCCCAAGAAUCAA